rnacentral:rRNA from 1 species
GAUGAACGCUGGUGGCGUGCCUAACACAUGCAAGUCGAGCGAUUCUCUUCGGAGAAGAGCGGCGGACGGGUGAGUAACGCGUGGGUAACCUGCCCUGUACACCCGGAUAACAUACCGAAAGGAAUGCUAAUACGAGAUAACAUGCUUUUAUCGCAUGGUAGAAGUAUCAAAGCUUUUGCGGUACAGGAUGGAUCCGCGUCUGUUUAGCUAGUUGGUGAGGUAACGGGUCACCAAGGCGACGAUCAGUAGCCGAGCUGAGAGGGUGAUCGGACACAUUGGAACUAGGCCACGGUCCAAACUCUUACGCGAGGGAGCAAAGGGGGAUAUUGCACAGUGGGCGAAAGCCUGAUGGAGCAACGCCGCGUGAGCGAUGAAGGCAGUCGGGUCGUAAAGCUCUAUCCUCAAGGAAGAUAAUGACGGUACUUGAUGAGGAAGCCCCGGCUAACUACGUG